GGAUGUCGGUGUAUACGGCCGCGAGUCCGCGACAGUGAUGCUGGAGUUUUUGCCCGCACGGAUUUCUCAGAGGGCAGCUCCCUCUUCCAGCUCACGCUCCUCUGCCCGGGAUUGACAUUUGGACCCCACCAGUGUUUGUGGCUGAUGAGGCCUUCCCGCAGAAGGUGAACCUGAUGCGUCCAUAUCCGGUGACAAGGACACCUAAGAACAGUACACUUGAGAUGUUAUUGGAGAGACUGACCGCAUCAUCAAAACCUGCCAGCUUAAACAUACCUUGGACCAUAACCACUUGGCCUUCUCAACAAACAGCUCAGACAGAUGGGAGUUCUCUGCAUUGAGCAGGGCAUUGAAGGCUGUCUGGUGGAGGCCAGCUCUCCUUGCCACCCUUGAACUCUUCAGCCAGCACUCACCCACCUGCUCCUCACAACUUGACCUGCUAAAAUGAAGAAAAACGGUCUAUACUGGCUUCCAGUAAAUCACAGAAUUAACUUACAGUCUGCUAUUAAUCAUUUGGUGGGACAGGAGAAGACUACUCAUAAAAUCUGUUCAGCAGCAGCACACAAUGCUAAGUAACUGUUAGUUGUUAUGUUGCUGAAUUCUGGAGCCAAAUUCCAGAUUAACAUGAAGAACUGUUCUUAGAUACUUGCUGCUAACUGAUCAGAGGCAUUACUUUUUUUUAUAUAAGAUACUCUCUAAGAUUUGCAUAUUGUAUUAUGUUAUAAUAAUGAUUUCAAUACAGAAUACUAAACCAGCUGGUUGUGAAAACCUAUCAACGGUGAAGUGGAUAGACACCACGCUUUGGAGGAGUGUAAACAAGUGACACUUCACUUUGCCAGAAAGGUUGCUUUGGCUAAUCUUAGUCAGGCCAUCUGCAAGCUGCAUCCUGACUGCAUUGUCCAUGUCAGAGCUCUGCUGUGUAGGCAAAUGAGAACAAUGGGAUCUCCUCUCCACCCCUGACAAAGGGGGCGUGGUCACUGGGACAUCCUCAUCCUCAUCUUUGCCCAUCCACAUCCUCAUCUUUGCCCAUGCUAAAAGCUGGUAAUGAAUAUUCUCACGGGUGUUGUUCAGCCGUAGCUACGAGGCCGGAGGCCGAGUGGCGCAGGCAACCCCACGAUCACGAGUGCUAUAUUGCUUUUUUUAUACAACAAUUCUAUCACUUGUUUUGCAUUAAUUUCCCAUUAUAAUGUUAACGUUUAAAUUGCUAAAACUGUCUUGUUUGUAGAAUUACUUCUUUCCGCCACAUAUCAACUAAUUUCAAAAUGUGCAGGACAAACUGCCGCUACUAGUUCUAAAUGGAUGGUUGCUACGGCCAAAGGCCAGUCUUUAGUUCUAAAUGGAUGGUUGCUGUGGCCAAAAGCCAAUUAUUAGUUCCAUCUCUCCCGUUGUCAAGCGGGCAUAUCCCAGUAUUCUGAUGAACCUUACACCUUACUCCUAACAGGAUAUGAGCGAGCGACUGUCAAUGUUGUAUAUCUACACCAAACUCCACCGGCUUCGUCAUAUGCUAUGUUCUGAGUGUCUGUAUUUCAGCUUGGAUGCAACAUGACAGUUCAUUUAAACUUCACGGAACUUCACAACUUCACAUUGUAUCGCGGAGUGAUUUAUUAUUAGCUGUGCAAAGUUUGAGUUGAAAUGUCCAGGGAUAUUUCAACUCAUGGAACGUCUCUCGGCCAAUCAGAAACAAAUAUAUAGUUCCAUUGAA